AGAACCCGCUCUCUGGACAGAAGAACCCGCUCUCUGGACAGAAGAACCCGCUCUCUGUACAGAAGAACCCGCUCUCUGUACAGAAGAACCCGCUCUCUGUACAGAAGAACCCGCUCUCUGGACAGAAGAAUCCACUCUCCGGACAGAAGAGCCCGCUCUCCGGACAGAAUGUUGCGUGCUGUGGGAUGAGGUAGUAGUUUGUAUAGUUUUAGGAUCACACCAGAUCUGGGAGAUAACUAUACAGCCUACUGUCUUUCCCACGGUAGCUCCUUGACAACGACAGCAACGCGGCGCCUCUGCUGUGUAGCGGAUGGAGACCUGCGUGUGGCAUGCUUGCGAUGUAGAGAGAAUGUUCCGGAGCGUGCUGAGGUGCGGUAGUGAGUUAUGUUGUUGUCGGGGACUAGAAUAUGGCGCCCCCUACUGGAGAUAAGUAUACGACUUACUGCCUCCUGCUGCGUUAAACCUCAUAAUGUCACUUUUCGAUUACAGGGGAAUGAUUUGUACAGUAUUAUCAUAGAACAUUUUUGCUUUUUCAAACGAACUGCAACUCUGAGACUGCAGGAGUAAGAGUUCCUGUUUUUCUAAAGUACUGUUUUUAUUGAUUGGUAAUAAAUAUUUUUAUUAUAACUACAUCUUUACCUAUAUUUUUAUAAAUUUUAUUUUUUGUGUUUUACCUUCAGGAUUGUACUGUCCCAUAUAUUUGAUCUGUGCUUGUAUUUUGAUUGGCUGUUGUAGUAUGCUUGUAUAGAUAUACUAGCACACAUACAAAAGAACCCUGUCAGAGUUUGAAAUUAAUACGUGAAAAUAAGCUGAAAUUAUAUUGAACUUUGCUGGUGACUGAUAUAUUGAGCAGACAGCUGUUCCACAUGAUAGAAUGUCUAUUAUUUUGAUAAACAGAACCAAACAAGUGUCAUAUACUGUAGCAUUUUCCCAGAAUGCAUUUCAAAUGAGCUCAUUUCAGAGGAUGCAACUAAAAACUAGCAAAACAUGUAGUGCAUGCUGGGAUGAAAGGAAACACUUUGGUGAAUGAGGUAUGUGCUGGUAUAUGCAAACCAGAGGCUAACUUACAGGUGUGGCUCAUCCAGUCAUUAAGAAAAUAACAUCUCAGCAUGCAACGGGUGAUGCAUACAAAUGGUUGCCUGUAACUGCAGCCAGCAGGAGGUGACCUCAGUGACUUUGAUAAAGAGAUGACUUUGAUUUGGCGGGAACCAUGGCGACCAAGACGGCUCUAAUCGGUGUCUCCCUAACGACAGUGUCUAAGGUGACGUCAGCACGGAACUUUGAGGGAUUAAAUUGAUUAACGAGUCAGAAGAGGGUGGGAGUGGUAAUGCUAUGAUCGUGAUGUCUGUGAAUUCAUUCAGAAUUCAGGUGUAAAGAAUACUGUGCUUUAAUUCAGAAUUCAGAUGUAAAGGAGACCACAUUCAUGCAGAAUUCAGGUGUAAAGAAGGCUGUGCAUUAAUUCAGAAUUCAGAUGUAAAGGAGACCACAUUCAUUCAGAAUUAAGGUGUAAAGCAAACUGCUUUGUUUACCUGCUGUUUUCAUACUGGGAGAGUGCAAGCAGUUUCCAAAAAAUAGCCUAUCAAUGCCCCUUUACACUGCUGUACUAUAGCAAGUGAUGUCACAUCCUGCGACUUGUAAAGCAGUUAGUUUGUCAUCAGUCUUAUGGGAGGAGCUAAAGAAUAUGCAUGUUGGGGGUGGUGUGGUCAGGGCGCCAUCUGCAAGCGGAGAGGGAGCGGUUUAGCUUGCAUUGCAACCACAGGUGUGCGCGAUUACAAUUAUUUGCUAAUUGCAUUCACCUUUGUUUGCAGUGCCAGCUAAACCGCUCCCUCUCCGCCUGCAGGUGGCGCCCUAACCACACCACCCCUCCACAAUGCAUUUCACUGGUUUCAUGAAAAUUUGUAUUUCAAAACUGAAAAGAUUUUGCAUAUCAGGAUAUGUUGACAAACUACAGGGCUUCGAACUUGUCUCGGACAUCGGAUACAUCUGGAACAUUUCGUGCAGCGUUAACAGGAAGAAGUGCUAACAGGAAUGCUUACGCUGGCUGUUUCGCCCAGCUAUUCUGCUUUCUGGCCUAUAAGCACUAUGCGAUACAGUAUCUUUCUUUCUGAAGCUCUUUUCGCGCACGGCGCUCAAAGCACUUUCCCGAUAAAAGUAAAAAGCUGUAAGUGGAUUAAACGGAAAUAGAAUCUAAGCCUAAGAAAGGAAGAUGUGAAGAGUAUCUAGAUAAGAUUUACCAUGACCAAAAUGGGUAGAACUACAUAAAACAACUAAAUAAAACAGGGCAGCAAUAAAACGCUAGAUGCAGAUCUGAAAGGCUCAAUUUUUGGUUCUUUUAUUGCCAGUGAAGGAGAGGGCAUCAGGUCUGUAGAGUUGGAAUAAUGCAUUCACAGUUUAGUAGCGGUCUACACACAAAAAAAGCCAAAACAAAUUUCUGCUUGAGCCUUAGACUGCGUAGUGAAGUGGGUGACACCUCGAUGCUUACAUGCAUUCAGAUUAAAUUGAAACCAAACCAAGUCACUUCUGAGACAUUUUACACCAGAUACGACGCUGAAAUCAAUGUUUGAUUAAUGUUGACGUUGAUCCAGCGCUUAAUAUAAAUUUCUGGCUUAUAGAAUUAUGUGACCUGGAUUCAACUUUGAUUCAAUGUGUAUCUAUUAUGUCAAAAGCCUGCUUGUUCAACCGUCUGGUUAUGUUUUCAUCUUGUUUGAGUCUGUUCCCUCACCAUUUUGAUAUAUUUAGAAUGUGCUUUGAAUGUUAUGUAAGAAAGGUAAUACAUACAGUUUGUGAUUAAUUGUGAUUGUCAGGAUUUUGUUGAGUUUACAGUGCCGUUUUACCACUGAGGUUCAAAUACUGUAUAAAAUGUGUCAGAAUUAAAGUGAAUCUUCGACACCAGA